GAUGAACGCUGACAGAAUGCUUAACACAUGCAAGUCGAUGGGGAAGUGGUGCUUGCACCCUGGUAACCAUGGCGGACGGGUGAGUAACGCGUAAGGAACUUACCUGCGGGACCGGGAUAACAGCAGGAAACUGCUGACAAGACCGGAUAAGGUCAUUAAGCUGCAUAGCUUAGUGAUGAAAGGAGACGCCUGCGGAGAGCCUUGCGUCCUAUUAGCUAGUUGGAGGGGUAACGGCCCACCAAGGCGAAGAUAGGUAGCCGGCCUGAGAGGGUGGACGGCCACAAGGGGACUGAGAUACGGCCCUUACUCCUACGGGAGGCAGCAGUGGGGAAUAGUGGACAAUGGGGGCAACCCUGAUCCAGCAAUUCUGUGUGCACGAAGACGGUUUUCGGAGUGUAAAGUGCUUUCAGCAGGGAAGAAGGAAGUGACGGUACCUGCAGAAGAAGCGACGGCUAAAUACGUG
rnacentral:rRNA from 1 species